GAUGAACGCUAGCGACAGGCUUAACACAUGCAAGUCGAGGGGCAACAUGAUUUUAGCUUGCUAAAAUUGAUGGCGACCGGCGCACGGGUGAGUAACGCGUAUGUAACUUGCCUACCAGAGGGGGAUAGCCUUCCGAAAGGGAGAUUAAUACCGGAUGGUGUUGAAAAUUCGCAUGUUUUUCAACUAAAGAUUUAUCGGUAACGGAUAGGGAUGCGUGACAUUAGGUAGAUGGCGGGGUAACGGCCCACCAUGCCUACGAUGUCUAGGGGUUCUGAGAGGAAGGUCCCCCACACUGGAACUGAGACACGGUCCAGACUCCUACGGGAGGCAGCAGUGAGGAAUAUUGGUCAAUGGCCGGAAGGCUGAACCAGCCAAGUAGCGUGGAGGAUGAAGGGUUCUAUGGAUUGUAAAACUUCUUUUAUAUAGGAAUAAAACCUCCCACGUGUGGGAGCUUGUAUGUACUAUAUGAAUAAGCAUCGGCUAACUCCGUG
rnacentral:rRNA from 1 species